rnacentral:rRNA from 1 species
GACAGAGGUGCCGAGCGUUAGGCGGAAUCACUGGGCUUAAAGCGUGUGUAGGCGGAUCUGUAAGUACCUUGUGAAAUCCCACGGCUCAACCGUGGAACUGCUUGGUAUACUGCGGGUCUUGAGCCACCUAGGGGCAAGUGGAACAAACGGUGGAGCGGUGAAAUGCGUAGAUAUCAGGAGGAACACCGAUGGCGAAGGCAGGUCUCUGGGCUGACACUGACGCUCAUGCACGAAAGCGUGGGGAGCAAACAGG